ensembl:lncRNA
GAAGGAUAUCAGACUCGCUGGCGUUUUAUAUCCUCUACAGUAGAUGUGUGGUUUUUAAUAAAUAUCUUCACUGUACAGGCUGUAUGUGCCCACACUGUCGCAACAGGCAGACAGAGAGUGAGAGAGAGAGAGAGAAAGAGAGAGAGAUAGACAACACGGAGGGGGGGGGUGUUUUAUAUGUUGAGUCAAAUUGUCUGCAGCCCAAGUCCUGACCAAGACUUCACCCUGAGAUGAGGAGACUGGAGCCGGCUCAGGGAGAGUGAGGUCAGGAGAACAGGAGCAUACAGCCUACUGGAGGAUCAUUAAUGGAAGCCUCGCUGGACAUCUGACCUGACCCUAGUCCUACCCCUGGACCACCCCAAGCAGGUCUGUGAAGAAGGUACCUGGUAAUACCGCGACAACUAUCGCUUAGGUUCAGUCUGGCUGUGUGAGGAGGGAGGCGUUUGAACAGUCUGAGCUCCUGCCUCCUAAUGGAGGCGCGGCCAUCCUGAAAGGAAGUCUGUGUUUCUGACGACCCGGGAAUCUUAAUCCAACCCAAUAGCUUUGGAAAACCCUGGAAAUACCUGGACUUUCUAGGAGUACAUCACCAAACAUCUGAAGGUGCCCAGGCACCUGGAAAAUAUAGCUUUAGAUUGUAUGUUUAUUAUUUUAGCAUAUACCAAGAAAGAGUCCAAAGUCUGAACAGUAGCAAUAGCAUUCGGCCAUCCAUCCACCAGCACAUCACCGACAACCAACAACCUGCUGUGACAGAGAGGGGCGUGACCUUUCUGGCUGCCGGCUUCAAACGGACACUUGAAAAGCAGGGCGACUCUAACCAAGAGGCUUCCGUGCGGCGGCGACUCUAACCAAAAAAAACCAUCAGGUAAGGCUGUGAAGUUCUCCCUGCUCCCGCUGGCCUGGCCCUAAGCCCUUUAACUCCUUCGGGGCUUUGAAGCUGGCCAGCCCUGCAGCCGUGUCCCAGCACACAGCCGGCCAUCCUGGGAGGCAGCAUGCAGGAAGGGCUGCUGGUAAACGGCCUGCUUUCAUGCUCUGCUCUCCUGUUUGUUCCCUUUGGAUUAGAGGCUGUGGAUGUGUGGAGGUUGUCUGGCUGAUAGAUGCUAACCCUGGGCUCUUUACUGAUGCCCCGCAGGCCCUGGCUCUGACCACAGAGAGCACAUCUCUGCACAUGUGACGGGGAAACGUGUGGCCGCUUGGCUUGGUUGACCAGGGAAGGGUGGUGGCAGCUCAUCAUACACACACACACACAUUUAUAUAUACCUACAGACUGACAAAAGCACACAUGCUGUCCUAGCCAUCUCCUAACAUUUUUGUUAAUACAGAAUAUGUAUACUUUCUAAUUUCUAUACAGAAUAUAUAUAAACUGACACGCACAUGCAUUUUCAUUUGUGGUCACACAAAUACACACACACCUUCACGUGGUAAUGGGAGGUUUUUCCUGGUGUUUUCAGUAAAGGGACUGUUGAUAGUUCCAGGAUGAGGAUUAUACAGUUCAUUAAGGGGAGAGGACUGGGUUUCCAGCAGAUAAAAUGUCAUAUCUGGUCUUUAGCUAAGUGUGUGUAUUUUUGCGCGUGCAUGUGUGGCCGUGCGAGGGUGUGGGUGUGUGCAUACAUACGCAUGCAUUUUGGCAUCCAUGUGUGUUUGAUUUUCCAUUUGAAUAAGUGUGUCUGUCUGUACGUAGGGAAUGUGGACAUGUGUGGCUCCUGGUUCAGGGGUCAGUAUUUCCAUACAGAGUGACUCUGAGAUCUGGCCUGGGUUUCAGUGUGCCACUGGCACAGCCAGAUAUUGUAGCAGCACAGAUGAAGGCUUGGAGAUGACGCUUUACUAGGAUCUGAUACCAUGACAUCGAAUUAACGUGCUGUCGUGCAACCAUGUCUAGUUGGUUGGAAACACUAAAUCCCAUAUUUAGUUGGAUCAUGAUGCCCGAUCUAGGAAAAAUAUUAAGCAUUUUUGUGUUUGCUUUUGCAUUUGUAUUUAUUCACUGGAAUCAGAGUUACUGAGGUUUAGGUUUUAUUCUGGUAAUACUGUGGCACUUAAUGUCAUGUCCUGGCAUGGCAGACCAGUGAGAUCCACUCCCUCCCUCAUUUGGAUCAAGGACACCUGUUAGUUGUUAUUGCCUCCCCAGUGUUCCUGAUCACUGGCCCUAUUUCAGCUCCUCCUUCCCCAGUGUAUCUUGUCAGCCAUUGUUUUGGAUUUCAUUCCUUGUUUCAA